ACGUAAAAGCUAUUAGAUGCCGUUAAGCGAUGUGUGCUGUUUAUUGUUUAGUGCUGAGUUUGCAGUUAUUUUCGAAGCUUAAGUGGUACGGCGGAUUUAAGUGAUCAGCUGUCUAUGGAUGGUAGUGUUGCCAGUCUUUCUUGGCCACUAGCCAAAGAUUCAAGACUGAUGGUCCUGCUGUUCGACUUUGUCUAGGUUGCCCUUGGUAUAGGUCUUCUUUCUUACGUGAUAAAGCUACAAUUACCAAAAGCAGAAGAGGAUGCAGUAGCAAUAAUGACAGUUGACGUUGGAAGUAAACGCCAACUGGCAAUGAGGUGGAAAGCCAAGAAACCCAACGAUGCAUCAUUUUGGAAUUUAAUUCAGAGCUUGCUGAAACUGAUGUGAAAACGUCGAUUGGAGCAAGACAACAGGCAACUCAAGCAGAAAGUCUUGGCGCUGCAAGAAGAAAUUAGUGCGUUCAGGGAAGAUCCAGUUCAACUCCUUA